rnacentral:tRNA from 1 species
GGAAGGGAUGCGUCCCCGGUGGGGCGGCUGGACUUCAAAUCCAGCGAGGGUCGUAAGCCGGUCCUCUGUGGGUUCAACUCCCACUCUCUUCC